AGAGGACGUGUGUGAUUACUCUAGGAGAGGAACCCAAAUGAAACCAAGGGAGCCCCCAUCCAGGCAGUCGGGUAUCUGCGCCCGUCCCACCAUCGGAGCCGUGAGAAAAUCGUACUAGUUUCUAGGUCUCCCUAGACUCUUCCACAGCUGCGUGGUUUCCCACGAGUAUGGAGUUUGGGGGUGCACGGAGCACCACACACAUACCUGCCAGCAGCCCAAUGAGUAGCAUCACCACCCAUCCCGACCACGCGUCCAGCAGGCUCUUGAUGAACUCCCAAAUAGACUCCUUACUUUUGCUGGUGAUCUGACAAGGAAGGACACAGAGCGAUUGAUCAGAACGCAUCGUCCGGGUCACGCCUCGUCCUCUGAGACAGAUCCCUCAGGAAACGACGAGACUGAGGAGACGGAUGCAAUGAAGCCACCAGAUUCCCAGUCACAUUUUUCAUGCAGCGAUGCAGCACCAUGAUCUGACGCCCAAACCCUUAGUCACACCCUUUCUGAAAAAGCAUUCUGUACUUAUUCCUUUUCAAUGAGCCCACAGCCUUUACUAUAUAACUGCAUUUUGUACCAUUCCAGUGUACUGAAUGCCAAGUGGAUGCAUGACGACAUAGCGAGUUGCUCCCCGACCCCGAUCUUCAAUGUCAUCACCUCCAUCCUCAAGGAUAAGAAAAUGAGGCCCAAAAAAUGACAGCUCCAGACUCCAGUCCCAUCAAGUUCUUUCUCUCUGUGGAACCGACAUGCGACACACGGCCUCAGGCUCACAUCCCAACCAAGAGAUGGAAGCUUUGUGGAACGAUGGGCAAGGACCUCUUCAGCACAGGAUCGCCCACCUUCCUAUGUCUGUCGGUAUCCCGGGACUUUUCCCUCAGCCAGUCUAUGGUGUGGAAGUCCUCGUAGGUCCCCACGUCAGGGAAGGGCUCCUCGAGGAAGUCCAUGAGGUUCCCAGAGGCGCUCGUGGCUCCCGCCCUGACCGUGCUAGUCACUCCUGGAAGAGAAGUCCACCCGUUAAAAACGCAGACGGGGCUCGUGUGUGGCUCGGGACCGAGUGUCUGCAGAGCGCGCGUGAGGACUCGGGUUCCGUCCCCGGCUCCACCGAGAAACUAAGCGGGACCACAACAUAGAUAUGGCGGCAUGAUUCAGGAACUCUCUACUUUAUAUCUCCCUCCCUCCUGCUCUUUCUCUCUCCCCACCUCUCCGUGCCACUGUGUGUGUGUGUGUUGGUGUGUAUUAGAUGAACCUUUCAC
rnacentral:lncRNA from 1 species